rnacentral:rRNA from 1 species
CCUACGGGAGGCAGCAGUGAGGAAUAUUGGUCAAUGGACGAGAGUCUGAACCAGCCAAGCAGCGUGAAGGAUGACUGCACGAUGGGUGGUAAACUGCUUUUAUAUGGGAAUAAAACAGGGUAUGCAUACCCUCUUGUAUGUACCAUAUGAAUAAGGAUCGGCUAACUCCGUGCCAGCAGCCGCGGUAAUACGGAGGAUCCGAGCGUUAUCCGGAUUUAUUGGGUUUAAAGGGAGCGUAGGUGGAUUGUUAAGUCAGUUGUGAAAGUUUGCGGCUCAACCGUAAAAUUGCCGUUGAAACUGGCAGGCUUGAGUGCAGUAGAGGUAGGCGGAAUUCGUGGUGUAGCGGUGAAAUGCUUAGAUAUCACGCAGAACUCCGAUUGCGAAGGCAGCUCACUGGACUGCAACUGACACUGAUGCACGAAAGUGUGGGUAUCAAACAGGAUUAGAUACCCGUGUAGUC